CACGUAGGGCGCAAGCGUUGUCCGGAAUUAUUGGGCGUAAAGAGCUCGUAGGUGGUUUGCUGCGUCCGCUGUGAAAACCCAAGGCUUAACCUUGGGCUUGCAGUGGAUACGGGCAGACUAGAGGUAGGUAGGGGAGAAUGGAAUUCCCGGUGUAGCGGUGAAAUGCGCAGAUAUCAGGAGGAACACCAAUGGCGAAGGCAGCUCGCUGGGACGGUACUGACACUGAGACGCGAAAGCGUGGGGAGCAAACAGG
rnacentral:rRNA from 1 species